GCUGGGAAGGGAAACAGCAGGAACUGAGACUGGAUAAGGAGCCAGAGGUAGAGAUUUGGACUGGCUGGGAUCAUGCUUGGAGCAAAAAAGUGCUAAAGACCAAAGAGUACUUGGAUUUCCUUCACAAAAUAGAGAGUUCGGAGCAGCUACCAAAUUAGGCCCUUCCAACCGAGUUUGCUGAUCCAUCCAUAGACCUGGCUGCCAUAGCCACAUAACUAGCUAAUACAGAUCAUUAAUGAAGAUGUUGAGUCAGACUGGAACUUCUAUAACACUGCAUGCUGUCACUUCCUAUAGACACUUUCUUAUAACUUGACACACUGCUGAUUAGCAUUAAUCUUUGUGUAAAAUACUCCAGCUACUCAAUCCAUGUGAAAGUGAU